ACUUAAGCAUAUCAAUAAGCGGAGGAAAAGAAACCAACAGGGAUUGCCCCAGUAACGGCGAGUGAAGCGGCAACAGCUCAAAUUUGAAAUCUGGCCCUCGGGUCCGAGUUGUAAUUUGUAGAGGAUGCUUUUGGCGAGGUGCCUUCCGAGUUCCCUGGAACGGGACGCCAUAGAGGGUGAGAGCCCCGUCUGGUCGGACACCGAGCCUCUGUAAAGCUCCUUCAACGAGUCGAGUAGUUUGGGAAUGCUGCUCAAAAUGGGAGGUAUAUGUCUUCUAAAGCUAAAUAUUGGCCAGAGACCGAUAGCGCACAAGUAGAGUGAUCGAAAGAUGAAAAGCACUUUGAAAAGAGGGUUAAAAAGUACGUGAAAUUGUUGAAAGGGAAGCGCCUAUGACCAGACUUGCGCCCGGUGAAUCAUCCAGCGUUCUCGCUGGUGCACUUUGCCGGGCACAGGCCAGCAUCAGUUUGGCGCGGGGGAAAAAGGCUUCGGGAAUGUGGCUCCCUCGGGAGUGUUAUAGCCCGCUGCGUAAUACCCUGCGCCGGACUGAGGUACGCGCAUCGCAAGGAUGCUGGCGUAAUGGUCAUCAGCGACCCGUCUUGAAACACGGACCAAGGAGUCGUCUUCGUAUGCGAGUGUUCGGGUGUCAAACCCCUACGCGUAAUGAAAGUGAACGUAGGUGAGAGCUUCGGCGCAUCAUCGACCGAUCCUGAUGUUCUCGGAUGGAUUUGAGUAAGAGCAUACGGGGCCGGACCCGAAAGAAGGUGAACUAUGCCUGUAUAGGGUGAAGCCAGAGGAAACUCUGGUGGAGGCUCGCAGCGGUUCUGACGUGCGAAUCGAUCGUCAAAUAUGGGCAU
rnacentral:rRNA from 1 species